GGGCGGUUAGCUCAGCUGGUAGAGCAUCAGUCUUACAAACUGGGGGUCACUGGUUCGAAUCCAGUAUCGCCCACCA
rnacentral:tRNA from 1 species